GUUGGCUAAAAGGAAGACCAUGGUUAGCCAUCGAAUGGUUAACUGUAUGGACGAAAGAGAUAUGGACAUAUGUCCAUUCUUGUGCGUUUUUCUUUCUUUUUUAGUCUUCCAUGGACGAAGCAAGCACUCUUUAACGAACUCACGAGCAUCGAGAUCGCGAGUCAAGAUCGAGAACAAUGCGAAGAAUGCUUCCUUGGAUCGCAAGGAUAGUUAAAUUGGAAAUUCUAGAAGUGGAAGAAAGAGAAAGAGGAUAGCUUUUUGACAAGACUCUAUGCAGAUCGUGCAUAAGAUCGGGAAAGCAUGGUCGUUUGCUGGCAGAAUCAUGUUAACGACCAGGUGUCCUAAUCGUACAAAACAUUUCAUUGCCAGAAAUGAUUAGACUCGUAAAUAUAGCAGAAGUCCAGGAAAUGAAAUAAUUCGAUCGGAAAUCGAACAGAACUGUCAAAACUAUAAGAGAUAAUACCAAAAGCAUUGACAUGAAAGAACGAUGGUUACGGAUAGCACGACUGAUCAUGCAAAGUGUUACUACACUUGAAAGGAACAUCCAAUAAUGCUUUCGCGUUACCAUUUUUAUUAUUUUAAUUAAAGUCGCUUUUCCUGAAAAGCUUGUUUGAAUUGUAUCAUUUUUGAAAUACAUAUGCAAUAUUACCAAGCAGGUAGUAAUGUGGGAUGGCUGAUGUUUACCAGAUUCAGAUUUGGGAGCAAAGAUGAAGGCUCCUCAGCGUAGCUCUCUAGCCUGGCCCGGUCCCUUCGCUGUACCAACAAUGGUUAAUAACAAACCAUAAAGCACUGUCUUUGAGAUACAUGCAGUGUCUAAUCACCAAUUUGAUAUUUUGAAAAGAAAAGGGGCAUGUGUCUCGAUUUUUUCUGUGGAAAAUAUCUUGUUUGCCUUUUCAAUCUUCAAAUAACACUUUGAUAAGAAAGAUUUACUUGUUAUGCUAAUUGUCGUUUGUUAACUUCCCUUGUAAGGAUAGACAUUUGUUAAUAAAAUUUUCAGUUCUUUAAUA